rnacentral:lncRNA from 1 species
GCCACUUUUGCUAUAUGUAGAUUUCUAGAAUAAUUUAUAUUCUCUUCUAUCUACUGAUGAAAUUCAAAGUUUUUAUCAAAAUAGUUGGAUCAAAUCAAUCUAUAGUGCUUAUCAGUGUUUUGGCAUCAUAUGGUACCUUGUUCACUAUGUCAUUGAAUAUAAUUAUGAGAGAUGGUUAUCUACCCCAAAUCUGGAAGCUUAAACAUUUAUUAGAUGAUUAAGUUUCAGAUAUUUUUGGCUAUUUAUAACCCUUACUAAUCAUUUUAACAUGUACAUUGCCUGAUAUGACUUUUUUAAAGAGGUUUUUCAUUUUUCCCAAUUUAUUUUUUCUUUCUGUAAU